UGCAGAUACAUUGCUCCCCCAAGGAGGAGUCAAAGCCUAGCGCCGAGCCUUCGGAUGACAAUGAGGUUGCAAAGCUGCGAAAAGAGGCCGAACGCCUCAGGCUGGAAGCGGAGGCUCUCCGUGCAGCCACGCAGGCCAAAGC
rnacentral:SRP_RNA from 1 species